CCUACGGGUGGCAGCAGUGGGGAAUAUUGCGCAAUGGGCGAAAGCCUGACGCAGCGACGCCGCGUGAGGGAUGAAGGUCUUCGGAGCGUAAACCUCUGUCAGCAGGGAAGAAAGGUAACUGUGCUAAUCAGCAGUGAAUUGACGGUACCGGCAAAGGAAGCACCGGCUAACUCCGUGCCAGCAGCCGCGGUAAGACGGAGGGGGCGAGCGUUACUCGGAAUUACUGGGCGUACAGCGCUCGUAGGCGGUAUGUCAAGUCAAGGGUGAAAUCCCCGCGCUCAACGUGGGAACUGCCUUUGAAACUGGCAACCUGGCGUGUGUGCGCGGAUAGUGGACUUCCAGGUGUAGUCGUGCAAUCCGUAGAUAUCUGGAGGAACAUCAGUGGCGAAGGCGACUCUCUGGCACAUAACUGACGCUGAGGUGCGAAAGCGUGGGUAGCAAACAGGAUUAGAUACCCUUGUAGUC
rnacentral:rRNA from 1 species